rnacentral:rRNA from 1 species
UACGGAGGGUGCAAGCGUUGUUCGGAAUUACUGGGCGUAAAGCGCGCGUAGGCGGUUUGUUAAGUCAGAUGUGAAGGCCCAUGGCUCAACCAUGGACGUGCAUUUGAAACUGGCAGACUUGAGUAUUGGAGGGGUGGUGGAAUUCCGGUGUAGCGGUGAAAUGCGUAGAUAUUGGGAGGAACACCGGUGGCGAAGGCGGCUCUCUGGACUGCUACUGACACUGAGGCGCGAAAGCUAGGGGAGCAAACGGGAUUAGAAACCCCGGUAGU